CCUACGGGUGGCAGCAGUGGGGGAUAUUGGACAAUGGGGGGAACCCUGAUCCAGCGACGCCGCGUGAGGGAAGAAGUAUUUCGGUAUGUAAAGCUCUGUCAGCAGGGAAGAAAGCAAUGACGGUACCUUACCAAGAAGCCCCGGCUAACUACGUGCCAGCAGCGGCGGUAAUAGGUAGGGGGCAGGCGUUAUCCGGAAUUACUGGGUGUAAGGGGAGCGUAGACGGCUGUGCAAGUCUGGAGUGAAAGGCGGGGGCCCAACCCCCGGACUGCUCUGGAAACUGUAUGGCUGGAGUGCAGGAGAGGUAAGCGGAAGUCCUAGGGUAGCGGUGAAAUGCGUAGAUAUUAGGAGGAACACCAGUGGCGAAGGCGGCUUACUGGACUGUAACUGACGUUGAGGCUCGAAAGCGUGGGGAGCAAACAGGAUUAGAUACCCCUGUAGUC
rnacentral:rRNA from 1 species